rnacentral:rRNA from 1 species
AGUGAACGCUGGCGGUAGGCCUAACACAUGCAAGUCGAACGGCAGCACAGUAGGAGCUUGCUCCUACGGGUGGCGAGUGGCGGACGGGUGAGGAAUACAUCGGAAUCUACUUUUUCGUGGGGGAUAACGUAGGGAAACUUACGCUAAUACCGCAUACGACCUACGGGUGAAAGCAGGGGAUCUUCGGACCUUGCGCGAUUGAAUGAGCCGAUGUCGGAUUAGCUAGUUGGCGGGGUAAAGGCCCACCAAGGCGACGAUCCGUAGCUGGUCUGAGAGGAUGAUCAGCCACACUGGAACUGAGACACGGUCCAGACUCCUACGGGAGGCAGCAGUGGGGAAUAUUGGACAAUGGGCGCAAGCCUGAUCCAGCCAUACCGCGUGGGUGAAGAAGGCCUUCGGGUUGUAAAGCCCUUUUGUUGGGAAAGAAAAGCAGCAGGUUAAUACCCCGCUGUUCUGACGGUACCCAAAGAAUAAGCACCGGCUAACUUCGU